GACAAGCUGAAACAACUACACACACUCUCCAGUGGAUUGAAAUAUUUCAGUCAUUUACACAGAUCUGUUAUUAUAAUGGCUCACUGGGAAAGAUAUUUGAUCUUCUUUAUAACACAUUUCUGGGUAUGCGACUCUCUGGAGAGUGUUGACCAGAACACAAGAGUUCAAACUGCUUUUGAAGGGAGAUCAGUAACGAUUAACUGUACGUAUGAAACCAGUGAUCCAUCCCCGUAUCUCUUCUGGUACCAGCAAAAGAUGAAUGGAAUCCCCAAAUACAUGAUGAUGAUAAUUGUUACAAAUGUACAAAAUGACAAAGACUUUGAGGAGAGAUUUACUGCAAAUCACACCAAAACUUCAAAAUCGGUUCCUCUGACAAUCCAGGAUGUGAGUGUGUCUGACUCUGCUGUGUAUUACUGUGCUCUGAGGCCCACUGUGACUCAAACACACUCAACACUCAUACAAAAACUCUCAUGGUCUUGAGUUACAC